CCUACGGGAGGCAGCAGCUAAGAAUCUUGCGCAAUGGGCGAAAGCCUGACGCAGCAACGCCGCGUGAGGGACGAAGGCCUUCGGGUCGUAAACCUCUUUUGUGAGGGAAGAAGUUCUGACGGUACCUCGCGAAUAAGACACGGCUAACUACGUGCCAGCAGCCGCGGUAAUACGUAGGUGUCAAGCGUUGUCCGGAUUUACUGGGCGUAAAGAGCCCGCAGGCGGCUUGUUAAGUUUGGGGUGAAAUCUCCCGGCUCAACUGGGAGAGGUCUCCGAAAAC
rnacentral:rRNA from 1 species